rnacentral:snRNA from 1 species
ACUGGGCAUCAAAAGAAUC